GCAAAGACAACACAAUACUCCACAACGUCCACUAGAGGGCCACAUUAUCCAGUAGGAGGUGCACUACUCGUGCACUGUGUUCAACCAUUCAGUCAAUCACAAGUGCUGCUGUGAAGAGAACAAUUGUCAGACUGAAUGUUGAACAUCAGCUAGUUUCUCCUGUUGAUUUAAACCUUGUUGUAGAGAUGGAACAUUGGCUGUGGAUUAUUCUUGCUGCUCUUUUCUUUGAGUGUAAAGGAGAAGACAGAGUUACCCAGACAACAGGAGAUGUCAUCGCUACUGAAGGACACACACUCACACUGGAAUGUACAUUUGAGACAAGUGACCCAAGUCCUACUUUGUUCUGGUACAAACAGGAAGUUCAGGAUUCCCCAAAGUACAUGCUGAAAAGUUUCUCAAACAACGUAGAUAAAGCUCCAGAGUUCCAGAAAGAAAGAUUUGAUGCUAGAAUCAACAAGACAUCAGUUCCUCUGAGGAUCCAGAAGCUUCAGCUGUCAGACUCUGCUGUGUACUACUGUGCUCUGCAGCCCACAGUGACAGGAAACACCAAAACUCUGUACAAAAACCUUUGGAGCAAAGACAACACAAUACUCCACAACGUCCACUAGAGGGAGUCACACUCUGUUCCACUUCAACAGGAGCUGAUGAUCCAGUCUACAUUGUUUUAUUCAACAGUAACUGGUGAUAAUGAGCUGUUGUGGGAUAUUAUUUAUAUGAACAAUAGCUCAUCAUAACUGAGUAGAAAAGCUGAUCCUCUGAUAUCUAAUAGAGCUCAGAUUAAACUCUGGAGGUCAGUAAUUUAGUGAGGAACUCUCUGAUAUAUUCAUAACUGACUAAAUGUGAAACUAUUUAAAAAAUGCCACCAUCAUAUCGGAGUAGGGAUGAUAUCGAUUAAUGGACGAUCCAUUAAUCGGU